rnacentral:rRNA from 1 species
AUGGAGACGGAGCGACCCAAAGUGCUCGCCUCUCUCGCCGCACUUCUACUGCUGCUGCUGAUCACGGUCGGCGCGCUCGUGCCGGACAUCGGAGUACAAGCAAGAGCACUCCUUGUCUGGAAAGCCAGCCUCAGCAACCAGAGUCAGCAAGCCCUGAUGUCCUGGGAGAACGCCUCCACGCUCUGCAGCUGGCACGGCGUCAGCUGCACGGUGCACCAGCGCCGGCCUGUGAUCAGCGGUAUCUCCCUGAGGGGGAUGCAGCUUAGAGGGACAUUGGAGUUGCUCAACUUCACAGUGCUGACGACGCUGACAAGUCUCGACCUCUCUCACAACUACCUCUCCGGGGGCAUCCCUCCAGGCAUCGAGACUCUGGAGGAGCUCCAAAGUCUGCUACUGCAAGGCAAUCAGAUAAGAGGCUCGGUACCACUAGAUAAAAUGAGUAGCAACCUUGUGACCCUCAACUUGUCACUCAAUCAUUUAGUUGGUCACAUCCCUUCUGAAAUAGGCCACCUAACUCACUUAGUCACAUUAGAUCUGUCUAGCAAUAAUCUUUCUGGCUCAAUCCCAAGCAACAUCGGUGGUUUGACAAAACUCGCCACCUUGAAUCUUUGCCAAAAUGAACUUUCAGGGCAAAUUCCACAAGAAUUAGGUUACCAAGUGAACUUAGAGGUCUUGGAUCUUAGUGAAAACACACUCUCGGGUUCCAUCCCAGACAUCUUAGGGAAUUUGACAAAACUCAACAGCUUGUACCUUUGGGACAACAAACUUUCCGGACAAAUUCCACAGGAAUUAGGUUACCUUGUGAACUUAGAGGGUUUGUCUCUUCAAAAAAACAUACUCUCAGGUUCCAUUCCAAGAAAUUUAUGUAAUUUGACCAAGCUCACUUUCUUACGCCUUUGGGAGAACAUACUUUCUGGUCAAAUUCCACAAGAAUUAGGUAACCUUGUGAAGUUAGAGAAUUUGGCUCUUCAAGAUAACACACUCUCUGGUUCUAUCCCAAUAACCAUAGGGAAUUUGACAAACCUCACUCUCUUGUACCUUUACAAGAACCAACUUUCGGGACCUAUACCUCAAGGAAUUGUCAAGUUAUUGAGUCUGGUUAAGUUGGACCUCGCUUUUAACAACCUAUCAGGUGCCUUGCCAUUCAACCUCUGUGUGGGAGGUCAGCUACAACAUUUGUCUGCUACUAGCAACAACUUGGUUGGACCCUUACCAUCAAGCUUGCUAAGUUGUAAGAGCCUAGUAAGGGUUCGACUUGAACGAAAUAACCUUGAAGGAGAUAUCACCGGGAUGGGAGCUUAUCCAAAUCUUCUCUAUAUUGAUGUCAGUUCAAACAAAUUGUUCGGCAGAUUAUCUCAUCUUUGGGGUGGGUGCUACAAACUUACUGUGUUACGUGCAUCAAACAACAAUAUAACUGGAGUAAUACCAUCAAGUAUAGGGAAAUUAACUCAGCUGGGGAUACUUGAUGUUUCAUCAAACAAGCUUGAAGGACAGAUUCCAAGAGAAAUAGGCAAUCUAACGAUGUUGUUUAACCUGAGCCUUUCUGGUAACUUGCUCCAGGGAAAUAUGCCACAAGAAAUUGGAUCGCUGAACAACUUGGAGUAUCUAGAUUUCUCAUCAAACAACCUAACUGGGCAAAUACCAAGAUCAAUUGAGCAUUGCCUAAAGAUUCACUUUCUGAAGUUGAGCCACAAUCACCUAAAUGGUACAAUUCCUAUUGAACUUGGGAUGUUAGUAAACCUACAAGAUAUGUUGGAUCUAAGUGACAAUUCAAUUGUUGGCUCUAUUCCAAGUCUGUUAGAUGAUCUUGGUAUGCUUGAAGCCUUGAAUCUUUCUCACAAUGCACUGAACGGUAGCAUACCACCAUCAUUUCGGAGCAUGACCAGCCUCCUAUCCAUGGAUGUGUCAUACAACAAACUAGAAGGGUUAGUGCCACAUACUAGGUUUUUCGAGGAAGCUCCAAUCAAAUGGUUCAGGAAUAAUAAGAAAUUGUGUGGUGUUGUGAAAGGUUUGCCCCCUUGUGACCUUCCUCGAAGUAGUAAACAAGGGAAAAAGUCUGGUGCUAGUUUACUAGUUAUUAUUCCAGUUGUUAUAUCUUUUGUGUUUGUCAUUACACUAGUAAUAACAUGGCAUUGCAAAAGGAAGAAAAAUAAGAUAGAAACAACAAAUGAAGUACAACAGACCAUGAUGUUCGCCAUCUGGAACUUUGAUGGGGAAUAUGUAUACAAGAAAAUUGUUGAUGCCACAAACAACUUCAGCAAAGAUUUUUGCAUCGGAUCUGGAGGGAAUGGAUCUGUCUAUAGGGCUCAGUUAGCAACAGGUGAAUUAUUUGCAGUGAAGAAGAUCCAUGUGGCAGAAGACGAUGAGCAAUUUAACCGUGAAAUACACUCGCUGAUGCACAUUCGACAUCGCAACAUUGCAAAGUUAUUUGGUUACUGCUCUGCAACUCAGGGGAGAUUCCUUGUAUAUGAAUACAUGGGCAGAGGGAGCUUAGCAGCAUCUUUAAAUUGUCUGGAAACUGCAGUUGAAAUGGAUUGGACGAGGAGGUUAAAUAUUGUUAGGGAUGUUGCUCAUGCUUUGUCAUACAUGCAUCACGGUUGCUUCGCGCCGAUAGUCCACAGAGAUAUAAAGAGCAGCAAUGUUUUGCUUGAUCUUGAAUUUAAGGCUUGCAUCUCGGAUUCUGGUCUAGCAAAAAUACUAGAUGUGAAUGGAUCAAACUGCACAAAUCUUGCCGGGACCAAAGGAUAUCUUGCCCCAGAGCUUGCAUACACAACAAAGGUGACCGAGAAGUGUGAUGUUUAUAGCUUCGGAGUGCUGGUCCUAGAGUUGUUCAUGGGACAUCACCCAGGUGAUUUCCUUUCAUCCAUUGUUCACAAAACUACCUUACUUCGCAAUUGGCUGGACACACGGCUCCCACUCCCGGGACCUGAGAUCGCAAGUGAGAUGUUUCAAAUGAUCGUCGUCGCUAUUCGGUGCAUAGAGCCAGAUCCAUCACACCGUCCAACAAUGCAACAAGUACUCAAGGUGCUGUCAACAGUUGAACGGUCACCUGCUGAUCAUCUUGAUUAUCUCCAAACCGGCAUUGUCAUCCCUGCCUGCUGGUCAUGA